rnacentral:tRNA from 1 species
GCAGUCGUGACCGAGUGGUUAAGGUGACUGACUAGAAAUCAGUUUCCCUCUGGAGCGCAGUUCGAGUCCUGCCGACUGCG